AGAGUUUGAUCCUGGCUCAGAGCGAACGCUGGCGGCAGGCCUAACACAUGCAAGUCGAGCGCCCCGCAAGGGGAGCGGCAGACGGGAGAGUAACACGUGGGAACGUACCCUUUGGUUCGGAACAACCCAGGGAAACUUGGGCUAAUACCGGAUAAGCCCUUACGGGGAAAGAUUCAUCGCCGAAGGAUCGGCCCGCGUCUGAUUAGCUAGUUGGUGGGGUAACGGCCCACCAAGGCGGCGAUCAGUAGCUGGUCUGAGAGGAUGAUCAGCCUCACUGGGACUGAGACACGGCCCAGACUCCUACGGGAGGCAGCAGUGGGGAAUAUUGGACAAUGGGCGCAAGCCUGAUCCAGCCAUGCCGCGUGAGUGAUGAAGGCCCUAGGGUUGUAAAGCUCUUUUGUGCGGGAAGAUAAUGACGGUACCGCAAGAAUAAGCCCCGGCUAACUUCGUGCCAGCAGCCGCGGUAAU
rnacentral:rRNA from 1 species